rnacentral:rRNA from 1 species
CCUACGGGGGGCAGCAGUGAGGAAUAUUGGUCAAUGGACGAGAGUCUGAACCAGCCAAGUAGCGUGAAGGAUGACUGCCCUAUGGGUUGUAAACUUCUUUUAUAUGGGAAUAAAAUGUUCCACGUGUGGGAUUUUGUAUGUACCAUAUGAAUAAGGAUCGGCUAACUCCGUGCCAGCAGCUGCGGUAAUACGGAGGAUCCGAGCGUUAUCCGGAUUUAUUGGGUUUAAAGGGAGCGUAGGUGGAUUGUUAAGUCAGUUGUGAAAGUUUGCGGCUCAACCGUAAAAUUGCAGUUGAAACUGGCAGUCUUGAGUACAGUAGAGGUGGGCGGAAGUCGUGGUGUAGCGGUGAAAUGCUUAGAUAUCACGAAGAACUCCGAUUGCGAAGGCAGUUCACUGGACUGCAACUGACACUGAGGCUCGAAAGUGUGGGUAUCAAACAGGAUUAGAUACCCCUGUAGUC